AUUGAACGCUGGCGGCAGGCCUAACACAUGCAAGUCGAGCGGAUGAAGGGAGCUUGCUCCUGGAUUCAGCGGCGGACGGGUGAGUAAUGCCUAGGAAUCUGCCUGGUAGUGGGGGACAACGUUUCGAAAGGAACGCUAAUACCGCAUACGUCCUACGGGAGAAAGCAGGGGACCUUCGGGCCUUGCGCUAUCAGAUGAGCCUAGGUCGGAUUAGCUAGUUGGUGAGGUAAUGGCUCACCAAGGCGACGAUCCGUAACUGAUCUGAGAGGAUGAUCAGUCACACUGGAACUGAGACACGGUCCAGACUCCUACGGGAGGCAGCAGUGGGGAAUUUUGCACAAUGGGCGCAAGCCUGAUGCAGCAACGCCGCGUGAGGGACGACGGCCUUCGGGUUGUAAACCUCUUUUAGUAGGGAAGAAGCGAAAGUGACGGUACCUGGAUUAAUACUCUAGGAUAGUGGACGUUACUCGCAGAAUAAGCACCGGCUAACUCUGUGCCAGCCGCCGCCGUAACAC
rnacentral:rRNA from 1 species